AAAUUGAAGAGUUUGAUCAUGGCUCAGAUUGAACGCUGGCGGCAGGCCUAACACAUGCAAGUCGAACGGUAACAGAAAGCAGCUUGCUGCUUUGCUGACGAGUGGCGGACGGGUGAGUAAUGUCUGGGAAACUGCCCGAUGGAGGGGGAUAACUACUGGAAACGGUAGCUAAUACCGCAUAACGUCGCAAGACCAAAGAGGGGGACCUUCGGGCCUCUUGCCAUCGGAUGUGCCCAGAUGGGAUUAGCUAGUAGGUGGGGUAACGGCUCACCUAGGCGACGAUCCCUAGCUGGUCUGAGAGGAUGACCAGCCACACUGGAACUGAGACACGGUCCAGACUCCUACGGGAGGCAGCAGUGGGGAAUAUUGCACAAUGGGCGCAAGCCUGAUGCAGCCAUGCCGCGUGUAUGAAG
rnacentral:rRNA from 1 species